UCCCCAGUGGCGGAAUUGGUUAGCGCGCGGUACUUAUACAGCAGUACCUGCGAGUAAUGCUAAGGCUGUGUGUUCGAGCCUCACCUGGGGAA
rnacentral:tRNA from 1 species